CGAGACAAAGGAGAUGGGGUUCCUCCUUGUAACCGCCCGUAGGGCUGAUGACUCCUAUUCGAUU
rnacentral:ncRNA from 1 species